AUCUAAACACUACAAAUUAUGUAAAUAAUCAAAUAAAGAAUUAAGUUACAUGAUAUAUUUGCAGGUGGCAUACAAUUUGAAUUGAGUUACAAUAACAUUAAUUUUGAUUGUAACCAAAUACAGUGUUCUGUUGAUGGUAAAACAUUAAUAAUACCAUUACGUGAUGAUGUUGUAAUUGUAGAUCAAGAAACAAAUAAAGAAAAUGAUGCUGCGAUAUGAACUGAAUAUAAUACAUUUACCUGGUGUGAUGCAAGUACAAAAUUAUUUUUAAGUAUUUAUAAAGAGAUGAAUAAACUGUUCAAGAAUAGAAAAAUUGCUACAAAAAAAAUUUUAUGGAAUAAGAUAACAAUACAAAUGAAUAGUAAAGGAUACAAUGUAAAUGUAAUUCAAGUCGAGGACAAGUACAAAUCUCUCGAAAGAUCCUAUAAAAAUAUGAUCUCCAAUAAUAAAAAAAACAGGUAGAGGUCGUAUGACGUGUCCGUACGAAAUAGAAUUGACUGAAUUAUUAGGAUCAAAACACAGUAUCGAACCAUUAGCAGUGUCUGGUAGAGAAGGCCUCAUUAUAAGAAAUGACGGGGCAAUAGAGAAAUAGAGAAUUUACCAAUAGAUGAUAAUAAUGAUAAUCAAUCUAUGGAUGAGCCAAACAUACAAAGUGCACUGGCAACAGAUGUACCAACUUCAAAACAGAAUUUUGAGACUCAAAACAUUGCAAACAUUAUUUAAAAAAAAUGAGAGAAAACAAAUAAGCACUAUAGCUCGAUUUUUAGAAAGUUGCCAAAAAAGUAAAAUCAAACUGUCAACGGACAUUGUUGAAGGUAAAAAUAUUAAGAAUGAGAUACAAAAGGAGUUGUUAAAUGUAUAUCAAAAAAUAAGAAUUGCAGAAGAAGAAUGUGUCGAACAACUUAAAAAAGCUAAUAAAUUGAAAGAGGAAAAAAAUCGACUACUCAAAGAAUUUCUACACUACUCAGUACAAAAGAAUGAAAUGUUUAUUUAA